GGCCUCACAAGCAGGUCACGCAGAUGUCGUUAGUCUACUGACAUUGUGUCCAAAUUUAUCCAUCGACAUACGUAACAACGCCGGCCUUACUGCUUUAAUGAAAGCUGCUUUGCAAGGCCGAGUUCGAUGCACUCGGCUGCUUCUAUUGGCCGGAGCUUCGCCCGUCCUGAGAGAUUUCGGCCGGGGAUUAUGUUCGGUGGAA